CUUUUAGAUACAGACAUUGGCUGUCAAUCAACUCGACAGUUGUUUUUUUAGCGUUAGGCCAUCUGAGGUAAAGAAACACAAUUUAUGAUACUAGUGUUGUCAGAUUUUACUGCUGAUUUGAAAUAUGUUCUUUGAUCGUAAUCUUGACCAACCAUGUAGGAGAUUUCGGUCUUUUCCCAUUCAAGUAGAUAGGAGCUGCACUGGCAUGACUGGAAAUAGCCUCCCGAGAGUGUUCCAAAGAUGGCCGACGGUGGCCUUACUUGCUUGAAAGACUUUGGUCGUUCUCAUUCACGAAAAAACGGAAGUCAACGAGAACGAUUCAUUACACCACUUAUUCGAAACAAAAUAAUGUUGUAGCAGAGACAGUCACUUGUAUUAAAAUGAAUGGGAGAAAUUUGAACUCCCAACAGUCAGUGGAUGUAGAAAAAGGUAAAGAGCCAGCCACCUUUUAAAUACACAUCGCCUGUCAAUCAACUCGAGAACGCGCAUGCGCAUUAGCUAUACAAGCCGGGAAAAUUCCAUUUUUAGCAAAAUCUGAGGUAACAGAAGCACAAUUUUUGAUACCAGUGUCAUCAGAUUUUACUGCUGAUUUGAGAUAUGGUCUUUGAUCGUAAUCUUAACCAAACAUUUUGGAGAUUUCAGUCUUUCCCCAUUCAAGUAGAUAGGAGCUGCAUUUGUAUGUCGCUUGUUUACAUACAAAAAUUGCUGCCCGAGAUCAUUUCAAAGAUGGCCGCCAGUGUCUUGCUAGAAAGACUUUGGCUGUUCCUGAUGCUUUGGCCACUUUAGGAACUAUUUUCACUAGCGGAUAAGAAAUGCUUUAUCUAACUGGCCAAUUUGGUCUGAAAUACUUUUUCCUCACUCUCUCACUAAGUGUGUGAAUGUUUGUCAAGUUCCAGGCAUGAGAGGGCAUUCGCCCAUGGACUGAGAUUGUGUGUUUUUGUGUUGCUUCAGGGGGUGUGUCACUGUACAGACAAAUCUCACUGGAACAUCCAUGAUAAGAGGUCAAAUUUUUUUGUCUGCUAAAAUUGGUCUAUACUUUUUGAAUUUCCGAACUACAGUUGUGCACAUGCACACCUUAGUGUGACACUAAAACAGCAUUCUUUCACUUUGAAUGGGUAUGACAUGUAAGGCACAGCGCAUAUGAUUUUCUCUACAAACCUCUAAAAAUGAGAUGCUAAAAUAUAAUUUGACUCUCGAUGGAUGUACUGUCAUGUUGUCUUCUACAGCGAAGAAUUUCUACAGCGUUAUAUUUGAUAGCAAUCUGUCCUUUGAAAACCACAUUUCCAAUGUUUGUAAAACAGCAUUCUUCCAUCUCAGAAAUAUUGCUAAGUUAUGAUACAUGCUCUCUGUUUCUAAUGCCGAAAAACUAAUUUAUGUGUUUAUGACCUCAAGACUAGAUUAUUGUAAUGCAUUACUGGGAGGAUGUACUGCAGGUUCCAUAAAUGAACUUCAGUUAGUUCAAAAUGCACCAGCUAGACUGCUGACUAAACAAAAAAUAUGAUCAUAUCAGCCCAAUCUUAGCAUCGCUACAAUGGCUAUCUGCACAAUUUCAUAUUCAUUUUAAAAUAAUCCUAACUACUUACAAAGCUGUAAAUGGUAUAGCUCCACAAUACUUAUGUGACCUUCUAUCACGCUAUAUUCAUCACGUUCACUAAAAUCGCAAAAUUCUGGCCUGUUAAUAAUACCUAGAAUAUCAAAAUCCACAAAAGGAGGUAGACCCUUUUCCUAUUUGGCACCUAAACUAUGGAAUAGUCUUCCGAAGAUGGUUCGGGACUCAGACACACUGGAACCGGAAAUGGAAACACUUCUCAUACUCUAUAAUCAUGUUUUAAAGUGAAUGGCAUCUAUGCUAAUAUUAUUCUAUUUGUUUCCCUGUCUUAACCUCGGGAUACAUAUCCUGAGGUUACCAGAGCCUGCCAGAUCCAGCUCUGGUCCUGCAUGAUGUCCGACUCCAGUCCUGCAUGAUGUCCGACUCCGGUCCUGCCUGAUGUUCGACUCCUACUACUACAUGUUGCUGAGUGAUGACAACUAACUGCAGCCUGUGCCAGCCAGAUAUCACUUCAGUCUACUACAAUGGACUUCACAGAGGAUGAACUGAUGCCAGCACUAACCAUCAGACAUGGGAUACUUCACUGGACACUGCCUGAAACUUGAACUUAAAAUGGACUCCAAAGGAAAUUAAUCUGCCACAAGCUUACAGUCAAACUGCAGUGCAACUUACUGACCUCUGCCUGCAUCACCUUGGUAAAAGGAUUGACUACACUCUUAAAAUGGAAUAUGUGGAUAAUAAAUUGAUUGCAGCCUUCAUCAGCAAAAUAACAAUAGACAAUGCAUCUGUUUGCACUUCUGCAGGUAAUUAAGAAUGUAAGUUCUAUGACUUUAGUCAUUAAUCUUACAGUUAAUACAAUAUCUUUUUGUUUAAACAUUGGCCCCCAACAUUUACUUGGUUUACUAAUUUUAAAUCUUGAUUUAUAAAACACAUAAAUAACUAAUAUUGGCAUUAUAUUAAUGCUGUUUAGCCAGAGGGGAACUGGCCAUCACAGUUAGCAUGGUUUCCCCCAAGGUUAUUUUUUUCCUUUAACCUACAUCUUAUGGAGUUUUGUGUUCCUUGCCACAGUCUCCUUAAGCUUGCUCACUGGGGGUCUAAAUAUAAAUAUAAUUAUUUUCUAUUAUUUAUUUUAAGGCACAAUUUACAAUCAUGUCUUUUUUUUUUCCUUUUUUUUUUUUUUUAAUCCGCACUAUUAUGACUUGAAUACAUUACUAUAAUACAGGUUUUUCUGUUGAAGCAUAAUUUUCUGUAAAGCUGCUUUGAAAUUAUGUGUGUUGUGAAAUGACUUUCUGAAACUUGGUUAAUUCAUUUGGUGCGUAAAUCUAGCAAUUUACAGCGUAAAUCUAGCAAUUUUUUUAUAUUGUUAUAUUACUCUUGCAUUCCUUUAAAAAAAUAUAUAUAUAUAUAUAUAUAUAUAAUAUACAUAUAUAUAUAUAUAGCACUGUUGCAAGGUUGCUGUUAAGGGAGUCACAGUACAUUUCUCUCUAUUUUUUCCUCUUUUGGAAAGGUGUGGAAAUGUAAUAGUGGAGUUUUUCUGUUGCUGUUGGAUAAAAUGAGAAUGCAAAAAUAAUAUUCGCUCUGAUCUUAUUCACCACUAUAAAAGUUUACCCCGCAAUAGUUCACUUUCGAGUUACAAACCCCGAAAAUUUGAAAAGGUUCAUUGGAGGAAGAGGAUGAGGAAGAAGAUCGAGUUGGAAGGCAUCCUUAAACACCCAGUCGCUCUUUUUUUAUUUAUAGCCUAUAUAUAUAUAGUAUUUGUUUGUUUGAUUGUGAAACAAAGUGUGAAAGCUAUUGCAGGGUAUCAUUAUUCUUGUGGAAGUAUCAAUGUUAGGGAUAGCCUAUAUAACACCUCGACUGCAAUUAUUUAUUAUUUAUGCUUAUCAAUUUAUCAAAUUUUUGACUGUUACGACUUUUACU